rnacentral:rRNA from 1 species
AGCGAACGCUGGCGGCAGGCCUAACACAUGCAAGUCGAACGGAUCCUUCGGGAUUAGUGGCGGACGGGUGAGUAACACGUGGGAACGUGCCCUUUGGUUCGGAACAACUCAGGGAAACUUGAGCUAAUACCGGAUGUGCCCUUCGGGGGAAAGAUUUAUCGCCAUUGGAGCGGCCCGCGUCUGAUUAGCUAGUUGGUGAGGUAAAGGCUCACCAAGGCGACGAUCAGUAGCUGGUCUGAGAGGAUGAUCAGCCACAUUGGGACUGAGACACGGCCCAAACUCCUACGGGAGGCAGCAGUGGGGAAUCUCGUGCAAUGGGCGAAAGCCUGACGCAGCCAUGCCGCGUGAAUGAUGAAGGUCUUAGGAUUGUAAAAUUCUUUCACCGGGGACGAUAAUGACGGUACCCGGAGAAGAAGCCCCGGCUAACUUCGUGCCAGCAGCCGCCGUAAUAC